AUUGAACGCUGGCGGAAUGCUUUACACAUGCAAGUCGAACGGCAGCACGGGGCAACCUGGUGGCGAGUGGCGAACGGGUGAGUAAUACAUCGGAACGUGCCCAAUCGUGGGGGAUAACGUAGCGAAAGUUACGCUAAUACCGCAUACGAUCUACGGAUGAAAGCGGGGGAUCGCAAGACCUCGCGCGAAUGGAGCGGCCGAUGUCAGAUUAGGUAGUUGGUGGGGUAAAGGCUCACCAAGCCAACGAUCUGUAGCUGGUCGUAGAGGACGACCAGCCACACUGGGAAUGAGACACGGGCCAGACUCCUACGGGAGGCAGCAGUGGGGAAUUUUGGACAAUGGGCGCAAGCCUGGUCCAGCCAUUCCGCGUGCAGGAUGAAGGCCUUCGGGUUGUAAACUGCUUUUGUACGGAACGAAACGGCUCUCUCUAAUACAGGGGGCUAAUGACGGUACCGUAAGAAUAAGCACCGGCUAACUACGUGCCAGCCGCCGCGGUAAAAC
rnacentral:rRNA from 1 species